rnacentral:rRNA from 1 species
UACGGAGGGUGCGAGCGUUGACCGGAAUCACUGGGCGUAAAGCGCGCGUAGGUGGCCCGUUAAGUGGCUGGUGAAAUCCCGGGGCUCAACUCCGGGGCUGCCGGUCAGACUGGCGAGCUAGAGCACGGUAGGGGCAGAUGGAAUUCCCGGUGUAGCGGUGGAAUGCGUAGAUAUCGGGAAGAAUACCAGUGGCGAAGGCGUUCUGCUGGGCCGUUGCUGACACUGAGGCGCGACAGCGUGGGGAGCAAACAGG